rnacentral:rRNA from 1 species
UAAGGGAUAUUGGGCAAUGGGCGAAAGCCUGACCCAGCAACGCCGCGUGGAGGAUGACGGCCUUCGGGUUGUAAACUCCUUUUGUCGGGGACGAGACAAGGACGGUACCCGGCGAAGAAGUCACGGCUAACUACGUGCCAGCAGCCGCGGUAAAACGUAGGUGGCGAGCGUUAUCCGGAUUUACUGGGCGUAAAGCGUGUGCAGGCGGAUGCGCAAGUGGUGUAUGAAAGCUCCGGGCUUAACCUGGAGAGGUUAUGCCAGACUGCGCGUCUUGAGGCAGAGAGAGGGACAUGGAAUUCCGGGUGUAGUGGUGAAAUGCGUAGAGAUCCGGAGGAACUCCAGAGACGAAGGCGGUGUCCUGGCUCUGACCUGACGCUCAGACACGAAAGCAUGGGGACCGAACG